UUUGAAAUCAAACAGAAUUUGCAAGUGGUAUGGACACUGAAUUUUUUAUUUCGCUUCUUUAUUUAGCUGCAGUGAAAAAUUUCAGUGAUGAAAUGGAGUGUUUUGCCAUGGAUUAUGUUCAACGAUUCGCUACUGAACAAGUUCGAUGAUGUCAAACAAAUCUCCAACUGGUUCUUCAAAGGGCAUAUUUUGAGCGACUUUAUCGAGAUUUUAUGAGGAGACAGUUUGACCUGAUUUGGGACGCGAUCGACGACGAAGUGGUCGAGGCUCGGCUUGAGGAACUCUAGCCCAAAAUGUCCGAUCUGUGAUCGGUGAUCGAGAUGCCCGACACCGAAGCAUCGGUUCUGUCAUAACAAAAUCACCCAAAUCUCAAAUUAAAAUAUCUGAGUCAGGCAUUCUUUGCCCAAGAUCCACGUAUAAAUAGCUGUGCGUUGAUUUGCUAUACGCUCGAGAAGCUACCGCUGCCCCAGGAGUAGGUGCUCGACGAAUUGCGGCAUAUGCUGAGCCCGUUUCUGGACGAGGAUCUGCGGAUGCAGCAAUGGGAUAGCAUUUGAAGGAAUCAUGUUAUUUUUAGGAAGGAAUUAUGAUGUUAUUUUAGUCGUACAGAUUUCUACUGUAAUGGUGAAAUGAAAAACACUCUAGAAUGAAUGAAAGGGCAUAUAUUAUCUCGUAGACAAAUUCCAAGAUAAUCACAGGAAAUGAACACAUUACACAUAUAAAUAAAUAGUGCCGCUAGCUUCUUACGGAAUGUUAUUAUUUUUUCGGUCUUAAAAUUGUACACUUGUUUCUGAGACUGUUGAACCAAUAUGUGGCAACAGAACGUGUGAAAAAAUCAUGCUAUUUGUGUAUGUUUAGAAACAAAAUAACUGAGCAUAUGAAUGACUACACCACAACUGGACUAAAUUUAGUUAUUCUAAAGUGGGGCGGAAGUAUUUACAAUAGGUGCUGCAAGAACACCGUUAUGAUCCAGGAUGCGCUAAUGCCCGUGAGGGCUGCUCUUACUUUGACCAUGCUCCUGAUGUGCCACACAAUAUGAAAACGCUCGUGGUUGCCGCAGCAGCUGUGGUUUAAAAAGUUUCGGUCUGCAAACAGCUGCAUGUAGCCGGAAUAUUUGCAGCAAUGUGUACCUGUCAAUCCACUAUAUAAA